rnacentral:tRNA from 1 species
GGGAUGUAGCUCAGUGACAGAGUGCAUGCCUAGCAUGCACGAGGUCUUGGGUUCCAUCCCCAGCCCUG